rnacentral:rRNA from 1 species
UACAGAGGGUGCAAGCGUUAAUCGGAAUUACUGGGCGUAAAGCGUGCGUAGACGGUUAUGUAAGUCAGGUGUGAAAGCCCAGGGCUCAACCUUGGAAUUGCAUUUGAGACUGCAUAGCUAGGGUGCGGAAGAGGGAAGCGGAAUUUCCGGUGUAGCGGUGAAAUGCGUAGAUAUCGGAAGGAACACCAGUGGCGAAAGCGGCUUCCUGGUCCAGCACCGACGUUCAGGCACGAAAGCGUGGGGAGCAAACAGG